rnacentral:lncRNA from 1 species
AACAUUGAUAUGUGACUUGUCAUUAGAAGCAAAAUGCAUGACAAUUUCAGUUGUGGUAUAUCGACUUGAUGCAUGGUUUUUACAUGGUCAAUGAUCUUCAAAUAAGGCAUGCCAUGUAUCAUUGCGAAGCUUAUGAUGUGCUCUAAGUAUGUCUAGAAAGCAUCAAGCAUCAAGUAUGCUCUUAAGGGACUCGAUUGAAGACAUUUUCAUAGAAACGCAAUCAAUUAGAAUCACAGCAAGGAUCGCACAAAACAU